GGCUAUAAAUACAUGAAAAAAAGAUAGAGUUAGAGGUUGGAAAUUGAUAGAUAAUGUAGUAAUAUAUAUAUCAGAGCCAACAUUUGUUUCUAGAAGGAGGGGGACUACUAUACUUAGAUGAGGAGGUAAGAUGAGAUUGAGGUGGGAGAUUAGGAAACCAAUCCUUAUUUACAUAUGAGAGAAGUAACUUAAGUGGAACUAGUAACUAGGGGACAGAGGUCUGAGCCUUCUACGAUCGAUCUGGAAAAAGCAGUGACCUCUAGAAGCUAGAGAGCCCUUAUGAUUGUCCAGCACAGUUAGGUUCGAUCGAAAGAAGGAGGCGGCGACACGAUGAUCCUCGAACCAUGGUGGCAACUCCUCAUGGAAAGAGAGUUCUCACUAGUGACGCCCGAUUACAUUUAGAGAAACUCAGGCCAAAAAAUAUUUCUCUAAAAAUUAGAUAUUAUAGCAAAGUUGGGGUUUUCGAACCAAAGCUGGGAUCUCUCGAUGGGGACAUAAGCUGUUAGAACUGAAAGUGAGGCAAGAAAAGAGAUCAUGAGGCUAAAAGGAGAACUACAAAAGAGCAUCAGCCUACCAGCCUACAGUGAAUAUAUCGGUACAGAGGACUCUAUUAGCUCCUACAACUCUUAUUGUCACAAAAAAUGAGCUCCCAAAGAGGAUUUGUUAGACGAUGAGAGCCUAAGGAAACAAACUCCAACUGAGGCCGGGAAGCGGACUUGGUGAAGCUCUAAAAUGACAUCGCCCUUUGUAAUGACCUUGUGAGGACACACCUGUGACGCUAAGAGGUUCCCGAUGAUAUUUCAUUUUCAGGACAUCAAGAACGCCAAAAUGGACGAGAGGAUUUUUAUACCUGAGACUUCGGAUUUGUAAAUUAAUAAUUAUAUUAAUAAAAUAUAUUAUUAUCUUAGUUUGAUGAGCCAGUUUGUAAAAUUAUUAGAUUGAUUUUCCGUUCGUAUAGG
rnacentral:lncRNA from 1 species